AAGAUCAUACUUCAAAGGAUCAUUUCUUUAGUAUGAUUGGGACGUUUCGUUGACAAAACGAAGUCCAACUUAGCCACGAUGAGGAGGUUAGGAGCUUUUUCCUGAGCGGGAAGCUGGAUGUUAGCGUAGUCACUAACAUUCAUUGAUGACCGUAACUGACUAGUUUAAUUACUAGACAGUUGGGAAUUAGCUCGAUCUGAGUGGU
rfam:Tetranychus urticae London genomic scaffold, scaffold_18